UUGAACGCUGGCGCAUGCUUAACACAUGCAAGUCGAACGGCAGCACAGUGUGUAGCAAUACACAUGGGUGGCGAGUGGCGGACGGGGUGCGUAAUGUGUAGGAAUCUGCCCUGAAGUGGGGGACAACCCGGGGAAACCCGGGGCUAAUACCGCAUAAUACUCUACGGAGGAAAUUGCCUUGGACUUGUCGCAAGGUGAGAGCUUUAGGAGGAGCCUACUAUCCGAUUAGCUAGUUGGUGAGGUAAUAGCUUACCAAGGCAAUGAUCGGUAGGCUGGUCUGAGAGGAUGACCAGCCACACUGGGACUGAGACACGGCCCAGACUCCUACGGGAGGGCAGCAGUGGGGAAUAUUGGACAAUGGGGGGAAACCCUGAUCGGCAGCAAUGCCGCGUGGGGUGAAGAAGGCCUUCGGGUUGUAAAGCCCUUUAGGGUGGGGAAGAGGUUCUAAGGUGAUAACCCUUGGAAUUUGACUGUACGCCACAGAAUAAGGCACCGGCUAACUCUGUGCCAGCAGCCGCGGUAAUACAGAGGGUGCAAGCGUUAAUCGGAUUUAUUGGGCGUAAAGGGCGCGUAGGUGGUAAAGCAAGUAGGAUGUGAAAGCCCUGGGCUUAACCUGGGAAGUGGCAUCCUAAACUGGCUUAACUAGAGUAUGGUAGAGGGUAGUGGAAUUUCCGGUGUAGCGGUGAAAUGCGUAGAGAUCGGAAGGAACGCCAGUGGUGAAGACGACUACCUGGAUGCAAUACUGACACUGAGGCGCGAAAGCGUGGGAGCAAACGGGAUUAGAUACCCUGGUAGUCUAGCGCUGUAAACGAUGAGGACUAGAUGUUAGGGCAGCUUGGCUGUUGGUAUCGAAGCUAUACGCGAUAAGUUCUCCGCCUGGGAAGUACGGUCGCAAGAUUAAAACUCAAAUGAAUUGACGGGGGGCCCGCACAAGCGGUGGAGCAUGUGGUUUAAUUCGAUGCAACGCGAAGAACCUCACCUACUUUUGACAUCUCUGGAAUCCUGCUGAAAGGCGGGAGUGCCGAAAGGAACCAGAAGACAGGUGCUGCAUGGCUGUCGUCAGCUCGUGUUGUGAGAUGUUGGGUUAAGUCCGCGUAACGCGAGCGCAACCCUUAUUGCCUAGUUGCCUAUCAUUGCAGUUGGGCACUCUGGCGAGACUGGGCCGUGAUAAGACCGGAGGAAGGUGGGGAUGACGUCAAGUCCUCAUGGCCUUUAUGUCCGAGGGCUACACACGUGCUACAAUGGUGCGGUACAGAACCGGUCGCAAACCCGCGAGGGGGAGCUAAUCGUAAAAGCUACGACUCUCAGUUCGGAUCGGAGUCUGCAACUCGACUCCGUGAAAGCUGGAAUCGCUAGUAAUCGCGGAUCAGAACUGCGCGCGGUGAAUACGUUCCCGGGCCUUGUACACACCGCCGCUCACAUCAUCGAAAGUGGAUGAUACUAGAAGUCGGUGGGCUAACCUCAGCGAAGGGAGGGUCAGCCGCACGCGUAAGGUAUGAUUCA
rnacentral:rRNA from 1 species